CUUGAACGCUGGCGGCAGGCUUAACACAUGCAAGUCGAGCGAGCGGCGGACGGGUGAGUAAUGGCUGGGAAACUGCCUGAUGUAGGGGGAUAACUACUGUAAACGGUAGCUACUACCGCAUACCCUCAGAUGUGCCCAGAUGGGAUUAGCUAGUAGGUGGGGUAAUGGCUCACCUAGGCGACGAUCCCUAGCUGGUCUGAGAGGAUGACCAGCCACACUGGAACUGAGACACGGGCCAGACUCCGACGGUAGGCAGCAGGAGGGAAUAUGGCACAAUGGGCGAAAGCCUGAGGGAGCAAUGCCGCGUGAGUGAAGAAGGCCUUCGGGUUGUAAAGCACUGUCAGCGAGGAGGCGUUAUUCGAAGAGGAAGCAACGGCUAACUCCGUGCCAGCAGCCGCGGUAAUUC
rnacentral:rRNA from 1 species